GACGAACGCUGGCGGCGUGCUUAACACAUGCAAGUCGAACGGAAAGGCCUCUUUCUGGUGGUACUCUAGUGGCGAACGGGUGAGUAACACGUGAGUAACCUGUCCUUUACUUUGUGAUAACUUCAGGAAACUGUGGCUCAUAUCGGAUAUGAGCUCCUGCUGCAUGUUGUGGGGUGGGAAGAUUCUGCGGGUUGGGGUGUGAUCUCGGCUUAUCUGCUUUUUGGGGGGGGAUGGGCUUACCCAGGCCUUGUCGGGUAUCCGGCCCGUGAGGGUGAACGGCCAAAUUGGGAAUGAGAUACGGGCCAGACUCCUACGGGGGGCAGCAGUGGGGAAUAUUGCCACAUGGGUGGGAGCCUGAUGCAGCAACGCCGGCGGCGGGAUGAAGGCCUUCGGGUUGGAAAACGCCUUCGCUCAUGACGAAGCUGUGUGUGACGGUAGUGGGUAAAGAAGCACCGGCUAACUACGUG
rnacentral:rRNA from 1 species